rfam:Medicago truncatula strain A17 chromosome 1, whole genome shotgun sequence.
CUUGGCAAAUGAUGUUAAAAAUUUGUCAUUCUAUAGACAGAUGAUAUUCUGUGAUGAUAAAAAACUCCGCUUAUUAUCUGAUGCCUUC